GAUGAACGCUGGCGGCGUGCCUAAUACAUGCAAGUCGAACGAACAGACGAUAAGCUUGCUCUCCUGACGUUAGCGGCGGACGGGUGAGUAACAAGUGGAUAACCUACUUAUUAUACUGGGAUAAUUUCGGGAAACCGCAUAUAAUACCGCAUAAUACAUUGUACCGCUUAGUUCAAUAGUGCAACACAGUUUUCCCGACACUUUUAGCUGGUUUCGCGUUGUAUUAUCUAGUUGGUAAGGUAACGGCUUACCAAGGCAACGGAGCGUAGCUGACCUGAGAGGGUGAUCGGCCACACUGGAACUGAGACACGGUCCAGACUCCUACGGGAGGCAGCAGUAGGGAAUCUUCGGCAAUGGGCGAAAGCUUGACGGAGCAAGGCCGCGUGGGUGAUGAAGGUCUUCGGAUCGUAAACCUCUGUUAUUAGGAAAGAAAAGAUGUAGAAGUAACUAUGCACGUUUUGACGGUACCUAAUCAGAAAGCCACGGCUAACUACGUG
rnacentral:rRNA from 1 species